rnacentral:tRNA from 1 species
UAAUACGUAGUGAAACCACAAUAAGUUGCAAACUUAUAGAUGCUAAUAAGCCGUAUUAA